rnacentral:rRNA from 1 species
UACGAAGGGGGCGAGCGUUGUUCGGAUUUACUGGGCGUAAAGGGCGCGCAGGCGGCUUUGUUUGUCAGGCGUGAAAGCCCCGGGCUUAACCUGGGAACUGCGUUUGAUACGGCAGGGCUAGAGUUCGGGAGAGGAGAGUGGAAUUCCCAGUGUAGAGGUGAAAUUCGUAGAUAUUGGGAAGAACACCGGUGGCGAAGGCGGCUCACUGGCUCAUUACUGACGCUCAGGCGCGACAGCGUGGGGAUCAAACAGG